UCUUGCAUUCCUAAGAAAGAAACUGCGCGACGACUUCUGUAGGCCUUUUUUGAUAUGGUGCUGGCAAAACCAAACGACAAAUUGGAAGCAUAGAUGGAAUGCUUCCAAAGAAUCUUUAGCAUGGACAACGCCCGUAAAACGGUUGGAGAAACCAACGGUAAAAAUGAAAGGCAACACGAUCGAGCAAUCAAAAUACCGAAGUGUCCGACUUUGUACGCCCCAAACACUUAGGCAAGAGGAGGGGCGGUACAAAUAACAUCAUUGAACCCAUUUUCCAAACCGGGUCUGUUUUCUGCGACGGCAACACCGAACCUAGCAAAAUUCAAUGCGUAGGUACGAAACGAUUGUGAGGCUCGUCAGUCGGCCGCAAAAAAGCGGGGGGCCUGACUAGCACACACAUCAUAACCACUCACAUGCCGUCACGGUCACCACCCGUCAAGGCCCUUCGCCUUUCCCCCACACGUCAAAAA
rnacentral:rRNA from 1 species